GAGAGGUAUCCUGGCUGUGAGAAGAUGAACAGGGAAGAAAAAUAGACAAAAGAAUAAAAGAAAUCUUAAGAUGAGAUGGAGAGAGAUUGCCAAAUGAAGACAAACUGCUAAUAGGAAGAGGCACUAUGGUUUAGAAGAAAAUCUAAGAGUAACUAUAACUUGGAACUUAAAUGUGUCCAACAAAAAACUGCUUGGUGACUAAGAGAUAAUGAAGAAAACUUGGAGAAAAAACAAACUCACCAUCUCAGUUUUUAAACAGUCAAGAUACUAAAGAUUUCCAGUCUCCGGUAAAAAGAGAAUCAAGACCUUCCUCUUAUUGUGCCUUCCAUCUCCUGCUGCUUGUGUCCCUGAAGAGAAGGUUAUCAGAAUGGGGCUAGAGAGAGACUUCCAUAUAUGGCAGUGCAAGAAGCUUUCCACCUCCUACUCCCACCUAAUCUCUCCCCUCCUACCCUUAUCUACCACGUGGAGAGCCUUUAGUGAACAGAACAGCAGAUUAUCUUUGAUCUCAGUCUUUCCAUCUCUUGCUAAUGCUAAUCACCAACCUUUGAAGCAAAAAGGAGUUGUAAAAUGGGAGUUUUACAUAUAACUGUACACCUUCCAUUUCAAGAUGCCACUGUUUACAGCUGGAGCUGCAGCCUCCUCUGGGAAGAGGAAUGGUACCUUCCUUCUCAAACAUUCUCACAGUUGAUCAUAACCUACAAAUUCCAGUAAUUAUGAACACAUACAGGCCAUCAUCCAAACUCAGAUCCUCUAGCAGACAUGUCCACUAAAUUUCAUUAGACAAGUAUUUUACAUUUAGAGUGCCAACAGCUAAGUUAAAGUUAUAGAGUCUAAAACCAACAUGAUUCUUAAGCCCCAAGGCCCAAUUGUUUCACCACUCUGCUGCAGGAGGAGGAGCCUACAAAGGACUAAUAAACAAAACUGGUUAAAAUAAAUGCAAUAAUGGGACAAAAAAAAAGUAAUUAUGUUUCCUAAUUGGUGGUUAUACAAAAUAACAGAAAUUGUCUAAUACAUGCAACAAUAUAAUAAAAAUGACAAAAACUCAUUUUUUUUGUCUUCACAAGCAAUUCAUAAGACUUAUAUCCACAAAAAUUCAAGAAAAAUAAAACAUACAUAUUUUAACAAUUUAUAUUUCUUAAACAAACAUAGAAAAGUUAGAUUGCAAUUAAAAAUUAUGCAAAAGUCCUUUUUUUGGUACUGGCAAAAAAAUGGAGACAGUAGAUGUCUAUUAACUGGAGAAUGGCUGAAUAAAUUGUAUUUUGGAAAGAAUACUCAAGACAAUGAAUACAAAGAAGCACACAGAAGCUUUUACAUACAGCAAUAUAAAUAACAAUAAGCAGAGCUAGGAAAAUAACACGCAUGAUGACUACAAGAAGGUAAAUGUUAAGACCCACAAUAAAAUAAUUCAAUAUUGAAUAUAUAGUAUAUUACAUAUACU